rnacentral:rRNA from 1 species
UACGGGGGGGGCAAGCGUUGUUCGGAAUUACUGGGCGUAAAGGGCUCGUAGGUUGCCAACUAAGUCAGACGUGAAAUCCCUCGGCUUAACUGGGGAACUGCGUGUGAGACUGGCAGGCUCGAGGGCAGGAGAGGAACGCGGAAUUCCAGGUGUAGCGGUGAAAUGCGUAGAGAUAUGGAGGAACACCAGUGGCGAUGGCGACUUUCUGGUCUGUAACUGACGCUGAGGCGCGAAAGCGUGGGGAGCAAACAGG